rnacentral:snRNA from 1 species
GUGCUCACUUCAGCAGCAUAUAUACUAAAAUUGGAAUGAUGCAGAGAAGAUUAGCAUGAUCUCUGUGCAAGGAUGAAAUACAAAUUCAUGAAGCAUUCCAUAUUUUU